AGAGUUUGAUCCUGGCUCAGGAUGAACGCUAGCUACAGGCUUAACACAUGCAAGUCGAGGGGAAACGACAUCGAAAGCUUGCUUUUGAUGGGCGUCGACCGGCGCACGGGUGAGUAACGCGUAUCCAACCUGCCCACCACUUGGGGAUAACCUUGCGAAAGUAAGACUAAUACCCAAUGAUAUCUCUAGAAGACAUCUGAAAGAGAUUAAAGAUUUAUCGGUGAUGGAUGGGGAUGCGUCUGAUUAGCUUGUUGGCGGGGUAACGGACCACCAAGGCGACGAUCAGUAGGGGUUCUGAGAGGAAGGUCCCCCANAUUGGAACUGAGACACGGUCCAAACUCCUACGGGAGCA
rnacentral:rRNA from 1 species